rnacentral:rRNA from 1 species
UACGUAGGUGGCAAGCGUUGUCCGGAAUUAUUGGGCGUAAAGCGCGCGCAGGUGGUUCUUUAAGUCGGAUGUGAAAUCCCCAGGCUUAACCUGGGAACUGCAUCCGAUACUGGAUGGCUUGAAUCCGGGAGAGGGAUGCAGAAUUCCAGGUGUAGCGGUGAAAUGCGUAGAUAUCUGGAGGAAUACCGGUGGCGAAGGCGGCAUCCUGGACCGGCAUUGACGCUGAGGAGCGAAAGCCAGGGGAGCAAACGGG